GUAGGGUGCGAGCGUUAAUCGGAAUUACUGGGCGUAAAGCGUGCGCAGGCGGUUUGGUAAGUCAGAUGUGAAAUCCCCGGGCUCAACCUGGGAACUGCAUUUGAGACUGCCAGGCUGGAGUUUGGCAGAGGGGGGUGGAAUUCCACGUGUAGCAGUGAAAUGCGUAGAGAUGUGGAGGAACACCGAUGGCGAAGGCAGCCCCCUGGGCCAAUACUGACGCUCAUGCACGAAAGCGUGGGGAGCAAAC
rnacentral:rRNA from 1 species